rnacentral:rRNA from 1 species
GGCGGACGGGUGAGUAACGCGUAAGAAUCUACCCCAGACUGAGGGAUAACUGCUCGAAAGAGUAGCUAAUACCGCAUACGCUCUACGGAGUAAAGCUACGGCGGUUUGGGAAGAGCUUGCGUCUGAUUAGCUAGUUGGUACGGUAACGGCGUACCAAGGCGACGAUCAGUAGCUGGUCUGAGAGGAUGACCAGCCACACUGGGACUGAAACACGGCCCAGACUCCUACGGGAGGCAGCAGUAGGGAAUUUUCCACAAUGGGGGCAACCCUGAUGGAGCGACGCCGCGUGCAGGAUGAAGGCCUUCGGGUUGUAAACUGCUUUUAUCUGUGACGAAUAUGACGGUAGCAGAUGAAUAAGGAUCGGUAACUCCGUGCCA